UUUGCAUCAAGAUUCGGUCUCACUCUCGUCUUCCUCCCUCUCGGUGUCUCCGCCCCGCCGUCACCGAUCUCCCGCCUCCCGCCUCCGCCGCCGGCGACUGCUCCCGCGCCCGCUCCCCGUCGUUGCUUCCGUUCCGCAGAUCGAUUUCCUUCAAUGGCGGCGGCGGAGGAGGGGCAGUGGGUGCUCAUGGCCACCGGCCGAUCUCCCACCAACAUCGCCGUCAUCAAGUACUGGGGGAAGAGGGACGAGGCGCUCAUCCUCCCCGUCAACGACAGCAUCAGCGUCACCCUCGACCCCGACCACCUCUCCGCCACCACCACCGUCGCCGUCAGCCCUUCCUUCCCCUCCGACCGGAUGUGGCUCAACGGCAAGGAGAUCUCCUUGUCAGGAGGGAGGUUCCAGAGCUGCCUCAGGGAGAUCCGGAAGCGUGCUCAAGAUGUCGAGGAUGAGAAGAAGGGGAUCAGGAUCAAGAAAGAGGACUGGGGGAAGCUACAUGUACACAUAGCAUCGUACAACAACUUCCCCACUGCUGCUGGUUUGGCCUCUUCGGUUGCUGGCUUGGUUUGUUUUGUUUUCACCCUUGGAAAUCUAAUGAAUGUGAAAGAAGAUUAUGGUGAACUUUCUUCCAUAGCAAGGCAAGGGUCUGGAAGUGCAUGCCGCAGUAUAUAUGGGGGAUUCGUGAAAUGGUGUAUGGGAAAAAAUAAUGAUGGAAGUGACAGCAUAGCUGUACAACUUGCUGAUGAGGCACACUGGAAUGAUCUUGUUAUUAUCAUAGCAGUGGUCAGUUCAAAGCAGAAGGAAACAAGUAGCACUAGUGGGAUGCGAGACAGUGUUGAAACAAGUCCCCUUUUGCAAUAUAGGGCCCAGGCUUGCAACGAGUAGUAUAUAAGAGGCCUGCAGGCAGUUAGAUAGCGAGUGAGCAUUGAGGCGUACGAGUAGGAUGAUUGUGAAGAUGAUGAAGCCGGUGGUGGCGCUGUUCCUAGUGACCGUCCUCAUCGCCUCGCAUGGUGCGAUGAUGCAGUGGGCGGCGGAGGCGGAGACGUGCAACUACCCAAUCUACAAGUGCGAGGGGGUGUGCUACAAGAGAGGCAAGUGCAACGCCUGCUGCAAGCAGCUCGGCUUCCUGGGCGGCAUGCUCUGCCUCUGCUGCCACGAGGACGACGACCAGCCGCCGCCCUCCUCCACUCACCUCCCCGUCGCCGCCAUCGAUCACGAUCACGAUCACGCCGCCGACAUGCCAUGAUCAUCAUUCAUCCAUCUAUAUAUUGCUUAUUUGCAUGCACUGCAGAUACCAAUCUCAUCUCCUACUCCCAUGUAUAGUUGGAGUACAUAUAUAUGUUGGCUGGAUCAUGAGCCACCGGAUGUGAUGUGAGCAAUUAAUAAUAAUAAUAAUAAUAAUAAUAAUAAUAAUAAUAAUAAUAAUAACCA